AUCAACUUUCGAUGGUAGGAUAGAGGCCUACCAUGGUGGUAACGGGUAACGGGGUGUUAGGGCACGACACCGGAGAGGGAGCCUGAGAAACGGCUACCACAUCCAAGGAUGGCAGCAGGCGCGCAAAUUACCCAAUCCCGACACGGGGAGGUAGUGACAAUAAAUAACAAUACGGGGUUCUUUAGGAUCUCGUAAUUGGAAUGAGUACAAUUUAAAUCUCUUAACGAGGAACAAUUGGAGGGCAAGUCUGGUGCCAGCAGCCGCGGUAAUUCCAGCUCCAAUAGCGUAUAUUAAAGUUGUUGCAGUUAAAAGGCUCGUAGUUGAAUUUCGGGGUUAGUAGGUUGGUCAUGCCUCUGGUAUGUACUGGUCUCACUGAUUCCUCCUUCCUGAUGAACCUUAAUGCCAUUUAUUUGGUGUUUUGGGGAAUUUGGACUGUUACUUUGAAAAAAUUAGAGUGUUUAAAGCAAGCUAACGCUUGAAUACAUUAGCAUGGAAUAAUGAAAUAGGACGUUCGAUCCUAUUUUGUUGGUUUCUAGGAUUGACGUAAUGAUUAAUAGGGAUAGUUGGGGGCAUUAGUAUUCAAUUGUCAGAGGUGAAAUUCUUGGAUUUAUUGAAGACUAACUACUGCGAAAGCAUUUGCCAAGGAUGUUUUCAUUAAUCAAGAACGAAAGUUAGGGGAUCGAAGACGAUCAGAUACCGUCGUAGUCUUAACCAUAAACUAUGCCGACUAGGGAUCGGAUGAUGUUAAUUUUUUAAUGACUCAUUCGGCGCCUUACGGGAAACCAAAGUGUUUGGGUUC
rnacentral:rRNA from 1 species